GCUGACUUUACACUAGAGACCCCAGCAACAGCAGUAAGAGCUGGACAUGUAUGGCAGGGACCAGUUGGCUGAAAGUUGGAGCAGACCCCUCCAAGCUACUCUCACAAACACCCAGGUAUUAAGAUAAGCACACUCUGGAAACAAAGCUUGAAGAGAUAACUGGAAGCCCUGAAAGAAGGACAAUGCUAUUCCCUGUGGGGAAGCAAAGACAGCCACAUAAUGAAGCUGCCUGCUUGGAUGCUGCUCUGGUCUCUUGAGGAUAGGUUCAAGCAGCUCACUUUGCACAGAGGAACAGUCUCAGGGGCAAAGGAGAAUAUGCUGGGUUAGACUGCAGAACAUCAGAGCCUGGAGAAAGAUCUGAACCCACCUGCUAACAGGGCCAGAAACAACAGCCAGGAGGAAGGCCUCCCUGCAGACCUCCAAGUCACUUUAAAGUUGUGCCCUGCUGCAACUCUUGAUCA